AACGCGAAGAACCUUACCCAGGCUUGACAUGGCGGAAGUAGGACCCGGAAACGGGGACGACCUGUUGAGUCAGGAACCGCCACAGAUGCUGCAUGGCUGUCGUCAGCUCGUGCCGUGAGGUGUUGGGUUAAGUCCCGCAACGAGCGCAACCCUCGUCGCCAGUUACCUUUUCUGGCGAGACCGCCGGGAUCAACCCGGAGGAAGGUGGGGAUGACGUCAAGUCAGCACGGCUCUUACGUCUGGGGCUACACACACGCUACAAUGGGCGGUACAAUGGGCAGCGAAGGGGCGACCCGGAGCGAAUCCCAGCAAAGCCGUCCUCAGUUGGGAUCGGAGGCUGCAACUCGCCUCCGUGAACGCGGAGUUGCUAGUAACCGCCGGUCAGCACACGGCGGUGAAUACGUUCCCGGGCCUUGUACACACCGGUAUCUC
rnacentral:rRNA from 1 species